UGGCACCUCCGGUGUCCGCGUUGUAAUCUCGAGACGUGUUUUCCGUGCGGCUCUAUGGACAAGUCCCUUGGAAUAGGGCAUCGUAGAGGGUGAGAAUCCCGUACUUGCCAUGGAAGAACCGUGCUUUGCGAUACACGCUCUAAGAGUCGAGUUGUUUGGGAUUGCAGCUCAAAAUGGGUGGUAGACUCCAUCUAAAGCUAAAUAUCGGGGAGAGACCGAUAGCGAACAAGUACCGUGAGGGAAAGAUGAAAAGCACUUUGGAAAGAGAGUUAAAAGUACGUGAAAUUGUCGAAAGGGAAGCACUUGAAGUCAGCCAUGCUGCUUGAGACUCAGCCUGGCCUUUGGGCUUGGUGUAUUUCUCGGUGGCAAGCCAGCAUUGGUUUGGGUCGUCGGAGAAGCGCAUAGGGAAUGUAGCGUUUCCGGACGUGUUAUAGCCUUAUGCAGGAUACGACGACGCUGGAUCAAGGAACGCAGUGUGCCCUCUGGGCGGGUCUUCG
rnacentral:rRNA from 1 species